AUAACUUGUUGUUGUUAAUAAUACUAACCUAUGAGUGUGUUAACUUGUUGUUGUUGAUAAUAAUACUAACCUAUGAGUGUGAUAACUUGUUGUUGUGUCAGUUCUGUUACAUGAAGUUGUUGUUGUUUAGGUGCGUAACCUGACGUGGUGGACUUUGACUCAGGAGGAAGAGGGAGAAAUACCACUCCAGAAAGUCUCCUCUAUUAGCCACCGAGAGCAGAGACCCCAGGUCCACGGUUCUGCUCCGGUGCGGAGGGCGGUCUGCGGCCGCGGGGCGGGGCUCUGCAGCUCAGCGGAGGGGCCAGCAGAGGAGGUUCCGUUACCCAGAAUCCCCAGCGUUAGAGAGAGUGUGUUUUGGUCUCGCUUCUGCUGCGUCAAUGCCAUUCUGCUGAUCUGUGUUAAUAUAUUCCUCUACGCUUACUUCGCCUGACCUCUGACCUCUAACUGCUGUCCCAGUAGGAUACUUCCUGUGGGUGUUUUCAUCUCUACGUAAAUCAAUGUUCUUAUGGUUCUAGAAGAUGUAUCGUUCUAGAAUGUUACGGACCUGUGAUGUCACAGUGGGUAGGGUCCUAUUUAGUGUAUUGUAUAUGGACCUCUGAUUGGUCAAUAUUGUGUCCUUGUGUAAAUGAGAUUCAUGAAUAAACACGUGGCCACGUCUUGUAAUCUA